rnacentral:lncRNA from 1 species
AAUUCCCGGGGCCCAGAGGAAGAGGCAAGCUGGACCACUCUAUUGGAGAAAUCUAUUCCCUUUAGUACUGUGGAGGAGUCACAUGGCCAGUAGACUGAAUCUUUCAGGCUACACACUAAAGCCAUCUGACUCCAGCACUGGAGGACUUUAUCCUUCUCUUUUCAAGUAGAAAGAGAAUAUUGAGGAAAGACAAGGCAAGAGUUCUCGUCCCAACCCUGCCUGUGACCUUUCUCCAUCACCCUAUGGAGAUGUCCCACCUCCCAGAUGGUAAGAUGGGUCUGCACUGUGAUUGCCUGUCCUGGAGUUGAUCCACUAUACCUUGACUGUAUUGUAUGAAGCCGAUUGGAGACACUAAAGAAAAGACGGGAACUCCAUGAUGGUCUCAGAAAUUCCUCCGUUAAAGCUCCUUCUCAUCCUCUCUCCCUUCCAGGGCCUCCCCCCAAUUAGAUCUCUGCCUGCAGCUCCAGGACCUGCUCUAUACAGUGUCUGGACCUUCUGGGUCUCCCAACUCACUUAAUGAACACUUAGCAUUUUGUUCUCUGAACAAGUUAUAUAAUUUCUGAGUCAUGAUCAGACAGCAGAGAUUUCUCCACCAAAACCAGAAAAGAAAGCAUUGUGUGCUAAGUGCCCCUCAUCUCUUUGUGGGACACCCCAGUUCUGCAGAAGUCUGCAGAAGACUGCUGCGGAGAGCCAAGAUGGUUAGGAGCCUGUCCUCUAGCAUCCUAUUGGCUGCAGGUGACUUGAAGAGGAGUAUUUGCUGCAACAAGCGAAGGCUCAGAGAGAGCUGAUGUGGCUCCUUGGGCUGGCUUCGUAGGGAUCGGGCCCCUUGUGCAAUCACUAAACCCUGGCUUUGUGCCAAUGUGCCAGUGGCCUGCAUGAGGUUCAUAAGUACCAAGCUGGGAAUGUGAACUUCUUGGCCCACCCCAAAAGAGAUAGUCCUCCCAAGCUAAGCUCAACAAGACCUGGGAAGUGUGACUUUACAUGAGGCAUCUUUUGUAGACAGAGCACAGGCUUUGUAAAGUGCUACAACCAUUGGAGCCUUUGGCAUUUCCUUUCCUUCUUGGCAUGGUAAAGCCAACACUCAACACCAAUUACAAUACAGAGGUGACCAAUU